UUGUGCCUUGUGGUCUUCGUUUCUGAAUUGUGACGCAUUUAUAUAAAGCAAACUAUUGAUAUUUUUGAAGUACCCUAUUUAUUUUCAACAUGUAUCGACGAUCUAUUGGUGAUAUGGCAGAUUCGGGUAAAGAAAAGAAGGAAGCUACCGAGUCAGUUGUUUUCAAUGUGGGAUUGUUUUUUGUGACUUGCUUCCUGAUAAGAGUUGCUCGUUAUUCUCUCGACUACGUUCCAGCAAAAUCAUAGAAACGAUGCCAUUGUUACCAGCAUUUUUCAUUUUGUUAGUUCAAUUACCACUGUACAUAAUAUUUCUUAAAAAUGAAUAAUAAAUAAAUAUUAUGAGUUAUUAAGUUGAA